rnacentral:rRNA from 1 species
AAUGAACGCUGGCGGCGGGUCUUAAGCAUGCAAGUCGGACGGCAAGAAAGUGCUUGCACUUUCCUAGAGUGGCGGACUGGUGAGGAACACGUUGGUGACGUACCCUUUGGAUGGGGAUAGCCGGUAGAAAUACCGGGUAAUACCGAAUAAGGUCGGUGGUCUUGGAAGCCACCGAGGAAAGCGGCUUUGGCCGCGCCGAAGGAACGGCCUGCGUCCCAUCAGCUUGUUGGCGGGGUAAAAGCCCACCAAGGCAAUGACGGGUAUCUGGCCUGAGAGGGUGAGCAGACACAUUGGGACUGAGAUACGGCCCAGACUCC